rnacentral:rRNA from 1 species
AUUGAACGCUGGCGGCAUGCUUUACACAUGCAAGUCGAACGGCAGCGCGGGCUUCGGCCUGGCGGCGAGUGGCGAACGGGUGAGUAAUGCAUCGGAACGUGCCCAGUCGUGGGGGAUAGCCCGGCGAAAGCCGGAUUAAUACCGCAUACGACCUGAGGGUGAAAGCGGGGGACCGAAAGGCCUCGCGCUAUUGGAGCGGCCGAUGUCGGAUUAGCUAGUUGGGGGGGUAAAGGCUUACCAAGGCGACGAUCCGUAGCUGGUCUGAGAGGACGACCAGCCACACUGGGACUGAGACACGGCCCAGACUCCUACGGGAGGCAGCAGUGGGGAAUUUUGGACAAUGGGGGCAAGCCUGAUCCAGCCAUGCCGCGUGCGGGAAGAAGGCCUUCGGGUUGUAAACCGCUUUUGUUCGGGAAGAAAUCCUCUGGGCUAAUACCCCGGGGGGAUGACGGUACCGGAAGAAUAAGCACCGGCUAACUACGUG